rnacentral:rRNA from 1 species
AACGAACGCUGGCGGCGUGGAUAAGACAUGCAAGUCGGACGAGAUUUUUCGUUGUAGCAAUAUGAUGGGAGGUUUAGUGGCGAACGGGUGCUUAACACGUGGGCAACCUGCCAGGAAGUGGGGGAUAGCUCGCCGAAAGGCGAAUUAAUACCGCAUGAGAUUAGAGAGGACAUCCUUUCGAAAUUAAAGUCGGGGCAACAUGACGCUUCUUGUGGGGCCCGCGGCCUAUCAGCUAGUUGGUGGGGUAACGGCUCACCAAGGCUUUGACGGGUAGCUGGUCUGAGAGGACGACCAGCCACACUGGGACUGAGACACGGCCCAGACACCUACGGGUGGCAGCAGUCGAGAAUUUUUGACAAUGGGGGAAACCCUGAUCGAGCGACGCCGCGUGGAGGAUGAAGGUCUUCGGAUUGUAAACUCCUGUCAUUGGGGAACAAUGCGUGACGGUUAACUGCCGUCGCGUUGAUAGUACCCGAAGAGGAAGAGACGGCUAACUCUGUGCCAGCAGCCGCCGUAAUAC